rnacentral:rRNA from 1 species
UACGUAGGGGGCAAGCGUUGUCCGGAUUUAUUGGGCGUAAAGAGCGUGUAGGCGGCUUUGCAGGUCCGCUGUGAAAACUCGAGGCUCGACCUCGAGCUGUCGGUGGAAACCGUAAAGCUAGAGUCCGGAAGAGGAGAGUGGAAUUCCCGGUGUAGCGGUGAAAUGCGCAGAUAUCGGGAAGAACACCCGUGGCGAAGGCGGCUCUCUGGGACGGUACUGACGCUGAGACGCGAAAGCGUGGGGAGCGAACAGG